rnacentral:rRNA from 1 species
ACAGAGGGGGCGAGCGUUGUUCGGAAUUACUGGGCGUAAAGGGCGCGUAGGCGGCCUGCUAAGUCGGACGUGAAAUCCCUCGGCUUAACCGAGGAACUGCGUCCGAUACUGGAUGGCUAGAGUGUGGGGGAGGAAUGCGGAAUUCCAGGUGUAGCGGUGAAAUGCGUAGAUAUCUGGAGGAACACCGGUGGCGAAGGCGGCAUUCUGGACCACGACUGACGCUGAGUGAGCGAAAGCCAGGGGAGCAAACGGGA